AUGCAGCGUCGGACCAGCGGAUCCACGCUGCUCCUCCACCUCCCGACCAAUGCCCCCGGCCCGUCCUGCUGCUCACCUCCUCCUCGCAUAUGCAUCAACAAAAGAUGGCAGCCGCUGCAGUCCACAUCGUUCAACACUAGCAGGUCAACUCCUCCAAGGUCACAUGAGCUCGCCGCCAAAAGCGCACAGUCUAUUGAGCCAGAGAUGGCACUGGACGCCGCCGCGGCUGGUCAGCUGGAUCGGAGCCACCAACCCACGUCCGCACAGAGGGGGCUGGUAGCAGCCUUGUUGAUGGGGAUUGGGCACUAUCUGCAGCUACAGGUGGCAUCGACCUGCAGCUGCAGGGAGCGUCGACUUGCAGCUGGAGGAGGUGUUGACUUAAAGCUCGCCACGCACGGCACUACGACCUACUGCCACAACGGUCCACCACCUACAGCCGGCGUCGCAGCGCCUCGGCCGUUCAACUAUGCCACCUCGGGUCGUUCAACUCCACCCGGUGCUCGUCGUGGAUGA
rnacentral:rRNA from 1 species